AGAGUUUGAUCCUGGCUCAGAUUGAACGCUGGCGGCAUGCCUUACACAUGCAAGUCGAACGGCAGCACGAGAGCUUGCUCUUGGUGGCGAGUGGCGAACGGGUGAGUAAUAUAUCGGAACGUACCCUAGAGUGGGGGAUAACGUAGCGAAAGUUACGCUAAUACCGCAUACGAUCUACGGAUGAAAGUGGGGGAUCGCAAGACCUCAUGCUCAUGGAGCGGCCGAUAUCUGAUUAGCUAGUUGGUGGGGUAAAAGCUCACCAAGGCGACGAUCAGUAGCUGGUCUGAGAGGACGACCAGCCACACUGGAACUGAGACACGGUCCAGACUCCUACGGGAGGCAGCAGUGGGGAAUUUUGGACAAUGGGCCCAAGCCUGAUCCAGCAAUGCCGCGUGAGUGAAGAAGGCCUUCGGGUUGUAAAGCCCUUUUGUCAGGGAAGAAACGGUGGACUCUAAUACAGAUCACUAAUGACGGUACCUGAAGAAUAAGCACCGGCUAACUACGUGCCAGCAGCCGCGGUAAUACGUAGGGUGCAAGCGUUAAUCAGAAUUACUGGGCGUAAAGCGUGCGCAGGCGGUUGUGCAAGACAGAUGUGAAAUCCCCGGGCUCAACCUGGGAAUUGCAUUUGUGACUGCACGGCUAGAGUGUGUCAGAGGGGGGUAGAAUUCCACGUGUAGCAGUGAAAUGCGUAGAGAUGUGGAGGAAUACCGAUGGCGAAGGCAGCCCCCUGGGAUAACACUGACGCUCAUGCACGAAAGCGUGGGGAGCAAACAGGAUUAGAUACCCUGGUAGUCCACGCCCUAAACGAUGUCUACUAGUUGUCGGGUCUUAAUUGACUUGGUAACGCAGCUAACGCGUGAAGUAGACCGCCUGGGGCGUACGGUCGCAAGAUUAAAACUCAAAGGAAUUGACGGGGACCCGCACAAGCGGUGGAUGAUGUGGAUUAAUUCGAUGCAACGCGAAAAACCUUACCUACCCUUGACAUGUCUGGAAUCCUUGAGAGAUCAGGGAGUGCUCGAAAGAGAAUCAGAACACAGGUGCUGCAUGGCUGUCGUCAGCUCGUGUCGUGAGAUGUUGGGUUAAGUCCCGCAACGAGCGCAACCCUUGUCAUUAGUUGCUACGAAAGGGCACUCUAAUGAGACUGCCGGUGACAAACCGGAGGAAGGUGGGGAUGACGUCAAGUCCUCAUGGCCCUUAUGGGUAGGGCUUCACACGUCAUACAAUGGUACAUACAGAGGGCCGCCAACCCGCGAGGGGGAGCUAAUCCCAGAAAGUGUAUCGUAGUCCGGAUUGUAGUCUGCAACUCGACUACAUGAAGUUGGAAUCGCUAGUAAUCGCGGAUCAGCAUGUCGCGGUGAAUACGUUCCCGGGUCUUGUACACACCGCCCGUCACACCAUGGGAGCGGGUUUCACCAGAAGUGGGUAGCCUAACCGCAAGGAGGGCGCUCACCACGGUGGGAUUCGUGACUGGGGUGAAGUCGAAACAAGGUA
rnacentral:rRNA from 1 species